AUUGAACGCUGGCGGCAUGCUUUACACAUGCAAGUCGAGCGGCAGCGCGGGGGCAACCCUGGCGGCGAGCGGCGAACGGGUGAGUAAUGCAUCGGAACGUACCCUGGAGUGGGGGAUAACGCCGCGAAAGCGGCGCUAAUACCGCAUAUGCUCUGAGGAGGAAAGUGGGGGACCGCAAGGCCUCACGCUCUGGGAGCGGCCGAUGUCCGAUUAGCUAGUUGGUGGGUAAAGGCUUACCAAGGCGACGAUCGGUAGCUGGUCUGAGAGGAUGAUCAGCCACACUGGGACUGAGACACGGCCCAGACUCCUACGGGAGGCAGCAGUGGGGAAUUUUGGACAAUGGGGGCAACCCUGAUCCAGCCAUGCCGCGUGAGUGAAGAAGGCCU
rnacentral:rRNA from 1 species